ACUGGAGUUUGAUCCUGGCUCAGAUUGAACGCUGGCGGAAUGCUUUACACAUGCAAGUCGAACGGUAGAGGGGGCAACCCCUUGAGAGUGGCGAACGGGUGAGUAAUAUAUCGGAACGUGCCCAGUCGUGGGGGAUAACGUAGUGAAAACUUACGCUAAUACCGCAUACGAUCUAAGGAUGAAAGCGGGGAUCGCAAGACCUCGCGCGACUGGAGCGGCCGAUAUCAGA
rnacentral:rRNA from 1 species